UGACUUUCAGGAUUUGGUCUACAAGAGAUUGAAGUUGUAAGAGUAGCGGGUGGUUUUAGUAGCACUAAAGAGCUCCAUCAAGGUGGUUCUACAGUAAGAGACAUUGAUCAGUGAU